GGCGAGAUGGCCGAGCGGUCUAAGGCGCUAGAAUCAGGCAAAUAUGCUCAAAUCUAGUCUUUCGGGGCGGGGGUUCGAAUCCCCCUCUCGUCA